AGAGAGGUACCCAAGUGGCUUAAGGGGCUCCCCUGCUAAGGGAGUAGGCGGUAAAACGUGCGCGAGUUCGAAUCUCGUCCUCUCUGCCA
rnacentral:tRNA from 10 species